rnacentral:rRNA from 1 species
AUUGAACGCUGGCGGCAUGCCUUACACAUGCAAGUCGAACGGCAGCACGGGUGCUUGCACCUGGUGGCGAGUGGCGAACGGGUGAGUAAUACAUCGGAACGUACCUUAUCGUGGGGGAUAACGCAGCGAAAGCUGUGCUAAUACCGCAUACGCCCUGAGGGGGAAAGCGGGGGAUCGAAAGACCUCGCGCGAUUAGAGCGGCCGAUGCCUGAUUAGCUUGUUGGUGGGGUAAAGGCCCACCAAGGGGACGAUCAGUAGCUGGUCUGAGAGGACGAUCAACCACACUGGGACAGAGACACGGCCCAGACGCGUACGGGAGGCGGCAGUGGGGAUUUUAGAACAAUGGGGGCAACCCUGAUCCAGAAAUGCCGCGUGAGUGAAGAAGGCCUUCGGGUUGUAAAGCUCUUUUGUCAGGGAAGAAACACCGGCUCUAACACAGUCCGGGAAUGACGGUACCUGAAGAAUAAGCACCGGCUAACUACGUGCCAGCCGCCGCCGUAA